rnacentral:rRNA from 1 species
UGGGGAAUAUUGCACAAUGGGCGCAAGCCUGAUGCAGCCAUGCCGCGUGUAUGAAGAAGGCCUUCGGGUUGUAAAGUACUUUCAGCGAGGAGGAAGGCGGUAAGGUUAAUAACCUUAUCGAUUGACGUUACUCGCAGAAGAAGCACCGGCUAACUCCGUGCCAGCAGCCGCGGUAAUACGGAGGGUGCAAGCGUUAAUCGGAAUUACUGGGCGUAAAGCGCACGCAGGCGGUAUGUCAAGUCGGAUGUGAAAUCCCCGGGCUCAACCUGGGAACUGCAUUCGAAACUGGCAGGCUAGAGUCUUGUAGAGGGGGGUAGAAUUCCAGGUGUAGCGGUGAAAUGCGUAGAGAUCUGGAGGAAUACCGGUGGCGAAGGCGGCCCCCUGGACAAAGACUGACGCUCAGGUGCGAAAGCGUGGGGAGCAAACA